UUCAGUCACUGGAGGAACUGUCUCUGAUGACUCUGAUGGCUGCUGAACCUGAACAAGUUGUGGAUGUUGAAGUGUCACUUCAGGGUGCUCUGGAGGAGCUGCAUUCUGCUGCAGGGCUGUAGCACCAGCCUCCAAAGUGGGUUCUGGAGUGAUGGUGAGCUCCAGGUCCAAAGGUGGAAAGGUUGACUGCUGAGCCUGAACGGGCUCUGGAAGUGGAAAUGUCACCUUAGGGUUCAUUGUAGGAGCUGCAGUC